UACAGAGGGUGCGAGCGUUGUUCGGAAUUAUUGGGCGUAAAGAGCUCGUAGGUGGCCUGUCGCGUUGUUCGUGAAAACUCACAGCUCAACUGUGGGCGUGCGGGCGAUACGGGCAGACUAGAGUUCGGUAGGGGAGUCUGGAAUUCCUGGUGUAGCGGUGAAAUGCGCAGAUAUCAGAAGGAACACCGGUGGCGAAGGCGGGACUCUGGGCCGAUACUGACGCUGAGGAGCGAAAGCCAGGGGAGCAAACGGG
rnacentral:rRNA from 1 species